rnacentral:lncRNA from 1 species
UUCACGAGUUCUGAAAUGGAGGAUAUAGAGAAAUAGCUAUCAUACACAAAAAGUCUUAGGCAAGAGCUUUAAAUGGAAACAAUUAGAAGCAAAUUAUACAUUGAGUAUGGGAACAAAUUUUUGCAUGCUUGAGCCGAUGUGGAGGAGCAAGAUUCACCAUGUGCUGCUAUUAGAAAAGUUCAUGCAAAAUUUCAAAGUAAAAUAACCAAAAGUCAUGGUUUGACAAAUGAAAGAUAAGAAUGCUUCACUUUUCAACCAAUUCUGCUUCAUUUAAUAGUCGAACCUUGUCACAAAAAAUUACUUUGACCAUUGUCAAAGUGGGAAUUUAUUAAAUCAUAAAGAGCUGGUUGCACAUGGCAUGAAAGAAAAUGAAAUUCAUUCCAUUGACAAAAGCGCACAAUCAGCUGCACAUGCCUGCUAAAGUGUUGAAUUUUUUAUUUUGUUAGAUGACUUCGUGCAUCUUUUGCAACGGAUUGAAGCUUGUCAGCUUCAUGAUCUGACUCUGCAAGCUGAGAUUUCAAAACCAGCAUCAUUUUUUUCUUCUAUAAUCCCUUCAAAUCUAGGAUUGGUUACAAAUUUUUGUUAUAAAUACAGAAUCAAUUUACAAUCCAAGAGAGGGAGAACAAUAAAAAAGUGAGGGAUUUAUAAAAAUUCAGAGGCUAACGGAAACCAAAAACCCUGCCAAAAAACUUGGUUUUUGCACUACCUAAACAAAAACUGCCUUGACCAUCGCCAAAAGCCACGUGCACUAAGCAAACCUCCAACACUGCCUUAUACCUCCACAAUUACCUCUCCUCUCAUAAAGCCACCACAGAUUCAACCACAAAUCCCAAAACUACCAAGCUCCUACAUGGCCAACCCAACCCAAAGCUCACCACCAGUAGCUCCACCCAACAACCCAUAAAUACAUCAAAAAAAAAAAAAAAAAAAGCCUACCGUUGAAACCAAACAACAAUUCACAAAGAAAAACAACCCAAGAUCGAAACACCAUUGACAACCUACCCUUCACGUAGCCAUCAUCACCCAAGAUUCACAAAUCCAAAAACCACAGCAAACACCCAAGAAAAAAAAAAAGGAUGAAGCCUGCCAAAAAAUAAAUAAAAAAGACCUCUUGGCCAAAACCGAGAAAAACCCCCAAAAAAAAUUCCUAGCUUACUAGAAAACCAAAACCAAGCAUACAACAAUAAAAAAAACCACAGCCC